GCACAAAACCCAGCUUUGGGCUUUAACUUAGAAACAUGGAAUUUCUAUCAACUGGCUAAUUCAAGUGAGUAGUAGUUCACUGUAAGUUCAACUUGAUUUUGCUUUCUCAAUUCUUCUUCCUCUCUUUACCUUGUUCGUUCGUUGCUUAUAUGGUUAUUGGUGCACUUUUCAAAUUUGAUCUGAUGCCUGAGACUCUCUACCUAGCAGUGAACUUGUUAGAUUGCUAAUAGAAAGGAAAUGUGUAGUUGAUCGGUCUCACUGCAUUUUUGCUCGCACCUAAGUAGGAGGACUAUUGGCAUCACAGGGUAGAGAUAUUAUGAUUUAUACACAUGUACUGUUUUUCAAACUAGUACAAUCAGUAUCUUCUCUCUAUCCGUUCAGAUCACAGAUUUCAUUAGCAUCUCAAACUUGUUUUGAGAUUGUUUGGUCAUGAGCUUUUGCUUACCUGAAUCUUACAGGGGAGCGUAGCCAAAAUGAUUAACUUUUUCUUUGCAUCCCUCCGUACAAAAGGUAAAAAUCUCUGGCUUAUGAUUCCUUUUAUGUGUGUGCUUAUCUGUAAAUGAUCUACUUAUUCUAGAUUUAGUGUUUUACUUCAUAUGGGUGACUUCAAAUCUGCAUCAACACUCUUGUUCAUCACCCACACUGAAUAUAUAGAAAUAUGGCUUCUUUGGAUUACGCCAAGUUGUCCUACUUAGAUAUUCCCUUUGAGAUUAAGAGAGAAUUGAACCUAGUAUAUUAUGAUGGCAUGGCAUACAUUGUGUCUGGUUUCAAGGGAUAUAAUUUCGCUUGAUCGUAAAGACAAAUCAUCAAUGUGUUUUACAUAACAAAACAACUGUAAGGAAUUCUGUUUACAUUCAAUAGGCAAGUUGUACAAGCUCAUGAGUAUUCUUGGUUCCCUACCCUCUUUGAUAUCUAAGUCAACCACAUCUACUCAUAUGCAUAUGCCUGCACACAUAGAUAUAUGUAUUGUAUCUUCAAUGUAACAGUAUAUAUAUAUACACCUGAGUGUGACCUAAUGGCAUUAUGAGCAUGGGACGAAAUGGUCUUGCACAAGCAUUUGCUCUUCUUGCUUGUCUAGUGUCCUUUGCACUGCUUUGUAGAACUCAAUCCAAGAAGAUGAGUAUGAAUCCAUGGCGCCAAACAUGAAAGUUGGAUUGGGACUUGCAGGGCAAGCGGUGACCAUAUCCAAAACAGAAGUGGCAGGUUUGAGCUGGUGAGGGAAGUUGAAGGCCAAGUUAUCGACCUUAUGCUCAUAGAUUUUGCCAUUUCGGUCGAGUUUAUAGCGAGAAGUACCCUGAAACUCUCCCUUUGCCUCCCAUGGGACUCUAGGUACACCUUUAAGAUUCCACCUGAUGAGAAUCAUGUUCUCUGAUGGUUGCCAAACCCUGAAGAUCUCAAGUGAGAUAUCCCUGAAGAGAAUCUUGCCAUGAAAUCUAAGUGCCCAGAAGAUCAAUUUGUAGUUGUCAAUCCCAGAGAACGUGUUCAUUGGAUCCACUAAUGUUAUAUCAUCCCUGAAAGAGGAAACACAAAUGCUUUCAUUGACAGGUUUAAGGAAGGAAUCACCUAAAGGAGAAAGAGGAAAACACACCUGUAAAUGUCGUAAUUGAGAUCUUUGGUGAAGAGGAGAGGCAAAUCUUCGCGAAGGGAGGAGGAGCCUGGACGCUAAAGAGAGAAAGUGGAGAGAGACUAUCUUCUUCAAACUCGUAGCUAUUGGACGAUGAUGAUGAUGAUGAUAAAGCUUGGUUGGAAAUGGGUUUCUCUUUGAGUGAUUUUCCGGUCGGAAGAAGGAAAGAAGGAGAGAGAUUGGGGAGAAGAAACGCCAUAGCUGCUGGAUUUUAGAGCUUCUCUUGUUCUUUUGUUGUUGUUUUGUCUUAAUUUUUCAAGGCGACUUAAGAGAAUCAGAGGGAGAGGAUGACGAGUUGAGAAGAGCGAAGAUGCACGAAGAAGCUUUGUUGGAAGAUAAACAGCUGCUCGUUUUUUGAGUGGUAAUCAAACCUUCGCGUUGUAUUUUUUCUUUUCUUUAUUUUGACUUCUAAUAUUUUUAUGUUUCUUACUUUUUAUUUGAUAUCUAUAUAUAUUUAUAUUUCUC
rnacentral:lncRNA from 1 species